AGCUCUGGGGUGUUAUCAUGUCAGAUUGCAAAUCUGAAGAAGCGGGCUAGCCGCCCGUCGGGGCUU
rnacentral:tRNA from 1 species